GGAGAGAUGGCUGAGCUGGUCUAAGGCGCACGACUGGAAAUCGUGUGAGCGUUAAUAGCGUUCCGAGGGUUCGAAUCCCUCUCUCUCCGCCA
rnacentral:tRNA from 1 species